rnacentral:rRNA from 1 species
GACGAACGCUGGCGGCGUGCUUAACACAUACAAGUCGAACGGAAAGGCCCUGCUUUUGUGGGGUGCUCGAGUGGCGAACGGGUGAGUAACACGUGAGUAACUUGCCCUUGACUUUGGGAUAACUUCAGGAAACUGGGGCUAAUACCGGAUAGGAGCUCCUGCUGCAUGGUGGGGGUUGGAAAGUUUCGGCGGUUGGGGAUGGACUCGCGGCUUAUCAGCUUGUUGGUGGGGUAGUGGCUUACCAAGGCUUUGACGGGUAGCCGGCCUGAGAGGGUGACCGGCCACAUUGGGACUGAGAUACGGCCCAGACUCCUACGGGAGGCAGCAGUGGGGAAUAUUGCACAAUGGGCGGAAGCCUGAUGCAGCAACGCCGCGUGCGGGAUGACGGCCUUCGGGUUGUAAACCGCUUUCGCCUGUGACGAAGCGUGAGUGACGGUAAUGGGUAAAGAAGCACCGGCUAACUACGUG